CGGCGGCCCGCUCCCACCCCCCGCAGCGCUGCGGAGCCGGGGCUCGGCGGUGCCCCCGUCCCCUCUCCCCUCGCCCUGAGGUAAGACCCGGGCAGGGGCGCCAGACGGCACGGCGCUGAGCGGCCCCGGGACGGAGAUGCCCUCCGGAGGGGCUGCGGGAGCACAGGUGUACUGCGGUGGUCUCGGCGCGUUUGUCAGCACCGGCACCCAGAGCACGGCAACGUUCAGUCCAGAAUCAGACGAUCUGCGGCUGACGUGUCGCUUCAGCCCCUGCUCAGCAGAACUACAAGCGAGGAGCAGCACGAGCACGUCCUGAAGUCAGGCGUUCCCUUCACGACCCCUCUCUCUGCCCCGGGUUUUGGGGGUUUUGUCCCCCAACCGAUGAUAACCAGGGUAAACACCGAAGCAUUCGCAUUGUGCCUUUCUCCGAUAGGUACAGAAGCACACCAGCCUGGAUCUAUGCUGCGACCCAGCAUUCCGCUUCCCUUCACAACAGCACCCUCAGCUCCGAGCUCCUCGUAGCCGAGAUGCUUUCAGCGAAGGCUGUACCCUGGGCCUCUCUGUGCCGGAGGCCAGCAGCACCUCCUGCCAUAAUCCAGCACAAAUGACACAGUGUUC
rnacentral:lncRNA from 1 species